GGGUUCUUGCCUGUAUUACAAGGUGUGAGAUUGAGCACGGCUCAAUGCCCAACCACGACAGAAGAUAGAGAAAAGAUGAGUGUCAUCCUCUAUGCCUCGGCCAUAGGGUCUAUUAUGUAUGCCAUGCUGUGUACCAGACCUAAUGUAAACCUUGCCGUAAGUUUGGUAGGAAUGUAUCAAAGUAAUCCCGGCAUGGAACACUGGACAGCGGUCAAGAACAUCCUGAAGUACCUAAAAAGGACUAAGGAUAUGUUUCUCGUUUAUGGAGGUGAUGAAGAGCUCGUCGUAAAGAGUUACGUCGAUGCU
rnacentral:rRNA from 1 species